UCUCAUUGUUUUACAUUACGUUGCCUGUCUCUGUCUCACACCCCGCAGGAAACCAGCGCUGGUAGGGGACUGAGAGAAUAACGAUUUAUUUGGGUGAGGACAGAACAGCAUUUGAGCCUACACUUCCAGAGACCCUGUGGAAAGAAGAACUGGUGUUUAUUUGUCCAUAGAAACAUGGAUUUAAGACAGAUGUUCAAGGAAGCAUGUUGGCCUCUGAAGAUCAUAUGGGAGCGCAUUAACCAUGCAUACAGUUCAGACACUCCCCCUAUGGACUGGGGACUUCAAAAAGGGAACUACGGCUUCCAAAUGUGGGUUUUCCCAUCCAACAAUGAAAAAUACUUCGUAGGUUGGGAUUCUGGCUGCUCCUAUUGGAAGGUGAACACUCCGUUUGGACAAGGAUUAUAUUUUAUAGGACCUCUGUUCAUCAACAAAGAAAGGACGGGUCUAGCUGUACCCCCAUUAUUCAAUGUCAACGUGUCAGAUACAGAUAUAUUGAUACCGGCCUCGCCUGCAAGUGUUAUAGAGCGAAUGCAAAACAUUAAAAGUUUUGUAACGAAGCCUUACAGCAACAAGACAUUAUAAGAUUUAUUUGGCUGGGGACAGUACAGCAUUUGAGCCUACACUUCCAGAGACCCUGUGGAAGGAAGAUCCAGUGUUUAGUUCUCCAUAGGAACAUGGAUAUAAUAACGAUGCCGGAGUACCAGGAAGCAUGUUGGCCUCUGAAGAUAAUAUGGGAGCGCAUUAACCAUGCCUACAGUUCAGAUACUCCUCCUAGGGACUGGCGACUUCAAAAGGGGCACUACGUCCUCCAAAUGUGGGUCUUCCCAUCUAACAAUGAAAAAUACUCUGUGGUUCGGGAUUCAUUCUUCUCUUAUUGGCAGGUGAACACUCAGUUUGGACAGUGCUUAUUUUUUAUAAGACCUCUGUUCAUCAACAAAGAAAGGAAGGGUCUAGUGCAGGGGUGUCCAACCAGUCAGAAACAAACAGCCAAAAAAUCCUGUUAGGUACGUCAAAGAGCCGAAAUCGAGCUGAAGGCGCACGUGCAAAAAGAGAGUGUGGCCAUGUGCCUACUAGGCCACGCCCAUGCUAUAAAAUACAUUGAAAGAGAGCCAUAGCCACAUGAAAUACAUUUCAAAGCCAGAUCCAACAUAAAAUACAUUGAAAAAGCCACUUCCACAUAAAAUAAUUCAAAAAGCCAGAUCCACAUAAAGUAUAUUGAAAAAGCCAUAUUCACAUAAAACACUUUAGCUCCUCCAUGUGUCACUCCAGCCAGCUCCCCCAUGUGUCAAUGUGUCACUCCUGCCAGCACCCUCCUGUGUCACUCUAUUCAGCUCCCCAUUGUGUCUCUCCUGCCAGGACCCUCCUGUGUAACUCCAGCCAGCUCACCCUUUUGAGUGUACCUCAAAUAUACCUGGUUUCUCCUUCCUUUUCCCUUUCUAUGGGAAUUUGAUUCCAGCUCUCCCUGGUGUCACUCCAGCAUACCCUCAUAUGUAACUACAGCUGCCCCCCAACUCAUGCCAUUGCAGCAGCAGUCCCUUAUAUGUCCUUUGUUUGCCAGUGACUCCCUCAGUUCCUAGUACCCGUAGUGCUGCUGCGUGUCUGGCUGUAGUGCAGCAGUCAUCUGUUGUGGUCAUGUGCCUUUGAGUGUCAGGAGCCACAUCUGAAUAAAGAAAGAGCCGCAUUAAGCUCAAGAGCCACGGGUUGGCCACUGCUGGUCUAGCGGUACCCCCGUUAUUCAAUGUCAAUGUGUCAGAUACAGAUACACUGAUUCCGGAAAAGCCUGAAAUGGUGUGUUAACGCAAAUUCAGAACAUUGUGCAAUUAUUGGGUCAGCUAAGUAGCAGCAAUGCAUUAUGAGAUGUAAACUGCAUGUUUUCCCAUAGAGCAGUGGUUCCUAAACUUUUGUGAAUCACGGCGCCCUAGAGUAUAAGAAUUUUUUUAACGGCACCCCUAGGCCAAAAUGUUCUUAUGGACAAAUUUAGAAUUUUUUUUUAUAAUUAAAUAAAUUGUGUUUAUAUGUCAUCAGUAGGUUCAAUUGUGUGGUGAGGGACAAGAUUUGCUUCUGUUUGUCCACAUAUUUUAUGAUUGGCAGCCACCAGCACUGGUUUUGCCUAUUACAUUGACAAUAAAUAGUUUGAAUUGGUCCUGGACCACCAACCUCAGGCACCGCUGCAAGUGUGCUGCGGCACCCCAGGGAGCCACGGCACACAGUUUGAAAACCACUGCCAUAGAGUGGUGACAGCCCAUGUUUUUUACUCCACAAUUUCCCUUACACCUUUCACAAUAAUGAAAUUUAAAUUUUGGGGUAAAAUUCUGCACAGUGCAGAAUGGGUUAAAAGAUGUGAGACAGGUACAUGGCGGUGCUGUAUGGGUGGGACAGGUGUUUUCAACUUUGCAGGUGGGAUAUACAGGUGUUUUUUUAAGUGGUUUCAAAUUACCCCCAAAGCAACUCUUAUACAUUUGAAUGCACCCCAAAUUUAACCAAGGUAUCUAUUUAAACAAAAAAAGCUUUUCCACUUUUUUUUAAAUACAAUAAUCAACCAUUUUAAACAUUUAGAAGCUCGAAAUAUUUUUGUUUAGGACAGUAAUAUACAUCUACUGUAUACUGUCACCCAAUACUUGUUUGAGUUUUUUAGGGUACAAGCUGAUUUAAAAAAUAAUUCCUGCUGGUUUUUGCACCCAGUUGCUUUCAAACCGAUAGUGCGAGAACAGGGAGCUCACAUUCCGUAGCUGUGGUAAUUGAAAAAUGGACGCAAUAGGCACUUUAAUUUUUGCAUGAAAUACCCUAUAGUACUGUAUAUGGGGGGUCAUUCCGAGUUGAUCGCUAGCUGAAAAUGUUUGCUGCGUUGCGAUUAAUAAAAAAAAUGGUACUUCUGUGCAUGCGGCGCAGUGCGCACGCGCAACGAACUUUCACAACGACCGAUGCAUUUUUACACAAGGUCUAACUAAGCUUUUCAGUCGCACUGCUGCCCGCAGAGUGAUUGACAUGAAGUGGGCGUUUCUGGGUGUCAACUGACCGUUUUCAGGGAGUGUUCGAAAAAACGCAGACGUGCCAGGAAAAACGCAGGCGUGGCUGACCGAACGCAGGGCGUGAUUGUCACAUCAAAUCCGGAACUGAAUGGGCUGAAGUGAUCGCAAGCGCUGAGUAGAUCUGAAGCUACUCAGAAACUGCACAUUUUUUUUUUGUAGCCGCUCUGCGAUGCAAUCGUUCGCACUUCUGCUAAGCUAAGAUACACUCCCAGUGGGCGGCGGCUUAGCGUUUGCACGGCUGCUAAAAACUGCUAGCGAGCGAUCAACUCGGAAUGACCCCCCAUGGACAUUUUACUUGUUUGCCCUUAGUUGUUCUCUUUAAUUGAUACGAAGACAUUGUGACUCUCAGAAGGACCAUUGUUACUAAGCUACUAUAUGGGGUCUAUUUAAUAAGCCUUGGAUCGAGAUAA